CCUACGGGAGGCAGCAGUGGGGAAUCUUCCGCAAUGGGCGAAAGCCUGACGGAGCAACGCCGCGUGGGUGAUGAAGGCCUUAGGGUUGUAAAGCUCUUUUACCCGGGAUGAUAAUGACAGUACCGGGAGAAUAAGCUCCGGCUAACUCCGUGCCAGCAGCCGCGGUAAUACGGAGGGAGCUAGCGUUAUUCGGAAUUACUGGGCGUAAAGCGCACGUAGGCGGCUUUGUAAGUUAGAGGUGAAAGCCUGGAGCUCAACUCCAGAAUUGCCUUUAAGACUGCAUCGCUUGAAUCCAGGAGAGGUGAGUGAAAUUCCGAGUGUAGAGGUAAAAUUCGUAGAUAUUCGGAAGAACACCAGGGGCGAAGGCGGCUCACGGGACUGGUAUUGACGCUGAGGUGCGAAAGCGUGGGGAGCAAACAGGAUUAGAUACCCGGUUAGU
rnacentral:rRNA from 1 species